CGGGGGUUUUUCGGGAUUUAAUGUGGGGGUAAAGCGCGUGUAGGCGGCCACGCAGGUCCGUUGUGAAAACUGGAGGCUUAACCUUCAGACGUCGACGGAAACCGUGUGGCUAGAGUCCGGAAGAGGAGAGUGGAAUUCCUGGUGUAGCGGUGAAAUGCGCAGAUAUCAGGAAGAACACCAAUGGCGAAGGCAGCUCUCUGGGACGGUACUGACGCUGAGACGCGAAAGCGUGGGGAGCGAACAGGAUUAGAUACCCUGGUAGUCCACGCCGUAAACGAUGGGUGCUAGGUGUGGGAGGUGUCGACUCCUCCCGUGCCGCAGCUAACGCAUUAAGCACCCCGCCUGGGGAGUACGGCCGCAAGGCUAAAACUCAAAGGAAUUGACGGGGCCCCGCACAAGCAGCGGAGCAUGUGGUUUAAUUCGAUGCAACGCGAAGAACCUUACCAGGGCUUGACAUGGUCGGGAAAACCGUAGAAAUACGGUCCUCCUUCGGGACUCGAUCACAGGUGGUGCAUGGCUGUCGUCAGCUCGUGUCGUGAGAUGUUGGGUUAAGUCCCGCAACGAGCGCAACCCCUGUCCCAUGUUGCCAGCGAGUUAUGUCGGGGACUCAUGGGAGACUGCCGGUGACAAAUCGGAGGAAGGUGGGGAUGAUGUCAAGUCAUCAUGCCCCUUAUGUCCUGGGCUACACACGUGCUACAUUGGCCGGUACAAAGGGCUGCAAACCUGCGAGGGUGAGCGAAUCCCAAAAAGCCGGUCCCGGUUCGGAUUGAAGGCUGAAACUCGCCUUCAUGAAGGCGGAGUUGCUAGUAAUCGCGGAUCAGCAACGUCGCGGUGAAUACGUUCUCGGGGCUUGUACACACCGCCUCGUCACACCACGAAAGUCGGCAAUACCCGAAGCCGGUGAGCUAACCCCUCGGGGAGGCAGCGUCGAAGGUAGGGUUGAUGAUUGGGGUGAAGUCGUAACAAGGUAACC
rnacentral:rRNA from 1 species